rnacentral:lncRNA from 1 species
UCAAAUGUUUAAGUCUUCAUUUUCCCUAAAACACAUCCUAAACUGCAAGCGGUGCCCUUCUUCUUCGUCAUUUUCAUCGACGAUGACCUUGUCAUAUCUUAUCGGCGGCAAUCGAUGGCGGUCACAAACCCGUGCUUGUGUGCCUGUAUUUUAUUCUUUUGUGAAGGUGAUAAACAACUAGUGUUUGAGCACUCGUGUCUGCUUGUUAAGGUAAUGUUAUUGGGCCACUCAUAUUUGUUUCUACUAUUAUGGGAGCAACAUGUGACUUUAUUGUUGUUUUUGUUUAUUCUACUAUUGUUUUCAAUUUUUGUGUUUGUGGUAACCAAUACGUGCAUUUCCUAUUAUUUUUUAUUAUUCGAAUGUUAUUACUUUUAGUGGGGACAAAAUAUUUGUCAUCUUGACAUGUGAGUUUUUUUACUUUACAAGAUAAACUUUUCUAUUUGUUUUCACCUAUGAGGAUACGUUUUGUGAGGGAUUGAGUUUUGUAUUACAUAGAGGUAGUGAACAUGUGGUUCAUGGGAUUGAUGUCGAUAAAUGGAACUACAUGAGAUUGAUGUCGAUAAAUGAAGUUAUUUUUAAGUUAUUGGUAUUUUGAAGACUUAAGUUAUAAUAACUCAAAGUAUAUGUUAUGGUGGAAAAAUGACGAAGAUGAUAAUUUUGAAAGAAUAGUGGAUGAUAGAUAUGUAUAUGAGGUUGGUGAACAUGUUAUGAAAAUGAAUUGCAAAGCUCAUUUAUGUUGAGCAUUUGGUAAAAGGGUUAGUUGCGUUAAAACCAAUAUUAGAGUUUGAGUAGUUUUAUGGAGGUUAAAUGGUGUUAGUGACAAUGACAACAAUGACAAUGAAGCUGAUAUUGUUAAAUUUAAAGAUAUUGAUGAUGAGAGAAUAAUUAGUUUGGAUGAUGGUUUUGGUGUUGAUAAUAAAAUACAUGGUCGCUCUAUUGGACCAAAUAAUGUUGAAAUCCAUAGUUUAAACCAUGGUAAACCAUAUAUAAUGAAGACUACUGCAAAUAGGUCCACUUCGAAGAAUACAACUAAGAACAUAGAGAUUGUUCCCGUGUUAGACAAUUAUAAUUCUGAUAUUGAAAUGAAAUAUGUUUAUGAAGAGCUAGAUAGUAGUGACCUUGAUUCAAAUUCAAACAAAGAAAAUGAACCAAAGUAUGAUUAGUUUAGGGUGGAAGAGCUUGACAAUAAUUACAAGUUCAAAUUGGAACUAGAGUUUAAAUCACUUGCUGAGAACCUCCACAAGUUCAAGAUGAUUUUGAUCUUGAAUUUGAGGCUUUGGUCGAUGCCUCUGAGGCUUCUCAACCCAAUUUUUCUGCUAAAGCUCCAUCAUCUUCAUCUAUUUUUGUUGUUGCUUCUGCAUUUGUUGUUGUGUCUGCAUCUACUACUACUUUUGUUGUCGCUACUAAACUAGUUGAGGUAAAUUGUGCAAUAUAUGUAAUCAUUAGUAAAAUGUGUAAUUAUGUAAUGUUAAAUAAUUCUACAAUGAUUAUGUAUAUAUGUAGUCAUGAAAAUAAGAAACUGAUAUGGUGUUAGUGUAUGUUUUUAAUGAAAUUGAUUUGUAUGAUAAAUAACUCUGUAUAGCCUAUGCAUGUCUGUAUGAUUUUCAUUUUCCUAAAAAAUAUUAGAAAUUUUUUCUUCUACGCAAUUAAUAGUUGCUUUGACUAGUUACUCGUGUUGUUUGUAUGAUUACAAUUUUGUGCCUGUUGUUGAUUUUGCAGAAAGCAGAGAAACUAAAACCAAAAAUUGUCAGAAAAUUAGGUGUCAAAAAUUGAUGAGAAAAUUAGGUGUACAAUAGUCCUUAAAGUGAUUCUAGAAGUUUCAUACUAAUAGAUGAUGAUGAUCAUCAUCAUCGAGCAAGUCUAUUAAUAGUUGGUGAUGUAGGAAGCUCACAGUCUAUUUUGCAUGAUCCUAAACUUGAAGGUUGUUUGGAUAAUUAAGAAGUUCAGAUGAGAUUUGAAGGAGGAUGACUUAGUGGCCAUUUUGAAGUUGUUAUUUUGUAUUUUGGAUGACUCAUGAUGAUUUGUUUUUCGGUUGAUGUAUGAAACCUAAAUGUUUAUGUAAUUUAAUUAUGAAUGACAGUUGUCUAUUUUGGUUAAAACAAAAUACUUAUAUGUAUUUUGGUAUGAGUGACA